rnacentral:rRNA from 1 species
UACGUAGGGUGCAAGCGUUGUCCGGAAUUAUUGGGCGUAAAGAGCUCGUAGGCGGUCUGUUGCGUCGGCUGUGAAAACCCGGGGCUCAACCCCGGGCCUGCAGCCGAUACGGGCAGACUAGAGUUCGGCAGGGGAGACUGGAAUUCCUGGUGUAGCGGUGAAAUGCGUAGAUAUCAGGAGGAACACCGAUGGCGAAGGCAGGUCUCUGGGCUGACACUGACGCUCAUGCACGAAAGCGUGGGGAGCAAACAGG